GGCUUGGCAGAUAAUUUUGAUGAUCCUAACUUUGGUGAGGUGGAGGUUGAUAAUGACAAUGAAGAGGAUCAUUAUGGGGAUAUAGUGAGUUCUGAUGGAGAAGAUGAAGGUGGACAAGAACAAGCUAAACUAGGUGGGCCUGAAUGUAAUGCACCUCACCAGUUUAAUGGACCUCAAGCUAAUGAGCCCUGUCCCACAGCAGAGUUUGAGAAAGAAUAUGCAGAGCACUUUAGGCAAGAAGAAGAGGAAGACUUGUUCCAAGAGGAGAUAGGUGAGGAAUUUAAUCCUACUAAACUUGUAGUUGGUACCAAAUAUGUAGAUAAA